AUUCUAAAAACAGAAGAGAUCUUAAAAGCAAAUUUUAUCAUCAGUAGAGAUUUGAUAGAGCUAUAGUGCUUUCAAAACCAAGAAUGGCCUGCAAAAGAAAAUGAGCAAGCUGAGAACAACAAAAACAAGCGAUGGUAAAAAUUCAGGCAACAGAGAAACAAAGAUCCAAAAGUGGAGCCAACUGAGACGCUGUCCAUAAAUUCCAUAACAGACUGUGGAUGCAUAGAGUAAGCCAUCUUUAAUAACUGGAUUAUCAUAAUUGCUCCCAUAUAUUCAAGAAUCCAUGAAAAUUAGAUAGCAAGAGAGACCCUGGUUUGAAUAGCCACUUUAGAAAAUCUGGAAAAUUAAAGCAGGCUCUUUUGCACAAGAACAGUGAGACUUUCUGGAAGUCUUUUUGAGAUUAAUAACAGAGUAC
rnacentral:lncRNA from 1 species